UGCUCUAUCACCUGCCAUCUUC
rnacentral:siRNA from 1 species